AAAAAAAAAAAAAAAAAAGAAUAACAUCAAAAGAAAAUAUGAUGGAACGGAAUAGAUCUACUGAAAGAAAUCUUCACUUCCCUAAUUCAGGUAAUCUAUCAGCAAGAACAACCAAAUUAGGCCCACAACAAUUAACCACUUGAUCUCAAGCUAACUCCAUCACCUUUUACGUAACAGCAAUGCUUGAUAGAAGGGGAGAAAAAAGGAUCAUUCAAAACCUACCCAAAAACUAGAUUUUCUAACAAAGUUAUCCAUCAUCUGCAACACAACUCUUUCCCAACAUCUAAUUCUCCUAGUAUUCUACAAAAAAAACAAGCCAAAUUCCCUAAUAUCUCGACGAAGGAUCACACAUUCACCUAAAUUUUGAUAAAAACCCACUGCAUAUACAAUAAUCAACAAAAAUUUCUACAUUGGAGACAAGGUUAAGUUAAAG
rnacentral:misc_RNA from 1 species